GACGAACGCUGGCGGCGCGCCUAACACAUGCAAGUCGAACGGGACUAUUUUCAAACGAGGCUUCGGCCGAGGGAGGAUUUAGUCUAGUGGCGGACGGGUGAGUAACGCGUGAGCAACCUGCCCUUCAGUGGGGGACAACAGCUGGAAACGGCUGCUAAUACCGCAUAUUGCACAUGGGUCGCAUGGCCUGUGUGUGAAAGAUUUAUCGCUGAGGGAUGGGCUCGCGUCUGAUUAGCUAGUUGGUGGGGUAACGGCCCACCAAGGCGACGAUCAGUAGCCGGACUGAGAGGUUGAACGGCCACAUUGGGACUGAGAUACGGCCCAGACUCCUACGGGAGGCAGCAGUGGGGAAUAUUGGGCAAUGGGCGCAAGCCUGACCCAGCAACGCCGCGUGACGGAAGAAGGCUUUCGGGUUGUAAACUUCUUUGACCAGGGAAGAAACAAAUGACGGUACCUGGAAAACAAGCCACGGCUAACUACGUGCCAGCCGCCGCAGUAAGAC
rnacentral:rRNA from 1 species